AAGAAGAAUCUAUAAUCAAAACAACAAGUAGGUGGAAAUGUUGAAAUGAAGGAAAAAUUUCAACAUUGAAUGUUUUCGAUGUAAACAAACUGAUGGUGGCUGUUGAUCCUUAAGUUCCUGCUAAAACUGCGGUGGAAAAAUAUCUGGAAAUGGUGGAAAACUUCAAAAAUCUUCAGCUCUUCGCAUCAACAACCCACAGAGGACGGGAUGGAAGGAAAUCAACAAAGAACGUAAUUACAGGUGAGUUUAAGUAUCGUUGUCAAUCAAGAGUGGUAACUUUUGGUGUUUUUUUUCUGUUUUGUUUCUCUUUCAGGUACCCGGUUUUAAGUCUGCUGCCGAGAAGACACCAAUCGAUUUUCCAGAGGCGUCUGCUAAUUCGUACGAGCUGGUUCCUAGCCUAGCCAGGACCGUACAAGGGAGAUAACACGGACCGAGUUUGGCAUUAUAUUUGCCGAUUGCUGACGAUUGACGGAAAUUCCUCUUGA